UACGGAGGGUGCGAGCGUUGUCCGGAAUCACUGGGCGUAAAGGGUGCGUUGGUGGCGCGGGCAGUCAACGGUGAAAGUUCGGGGCUCAACCCUGAAUCGGCCGUCGAUACUCCCGGGCUUGAGCACUGUAGAGGCAGAUGGAAUUCCGGAUGUAGCGGUGGAAUGCGUAGAGAUCCGGAAGAACACCGGUGGCGAAGGCGGUCUGCUGGGCAGUAGCUGACACUGAGGCGCGCCAGCGUGGGGAGCAAACAGG
rnacentral:rRNA from 1 species